UGGGGAAUAUUGCACAAUGGGCGCAAGCCUGAUGCAGCCAUGCCGCGUGUAUGAAGAAGGCCUUCGGGUUGUAAAGUACUUUCAGCGGGGAGGAAGGGAGUAAAGUUAAUACCUUUGCUCAUUGACGUAACCCGCAGAAGAAGCACCGGCUAACUCCGUGCCAGCAGCCGCGGUAAUACGGAGGGUGCAAGCGUUAAUCGGAAUUACUGGGCGUAAAGCGCACGCAGGCGGUUUGUUAAGUCAGAUGUGAAAUCCUCGGGCUCAACCUGGGAACUGCAUCUGAUACUGGCAAGCUUGAGUCUCGUAGAGGGGGGUAGAAUUCCAGGUGUAGCGGUGAAAUGCGUAGAGAUCUGGAGGAAUACCGGUGGCGAAGGCGGCCCCCUGGACGAAGACUGACGCUCAGGUGCGAAAGCGUGGGGAGCAAACAGG
rnacentral:rRNA from 1 species